rnacentral:rRNA from 1 species
CACGUAGGGGGCGAGCGUUGUCCGGAUUCAUUGGGCGUAAAGGGCGCGCAGGCGGCUCGGAAAGUCGGGUGUGAAAACUCGGGGCUCAACCCCGGGCGUGCAUCCGAUACUGCCGGGCUUGAGGCAGGUAGGGGAGAUCGGAAUUCCUGGUGUAGCGGCGAAAUGCGCAGAUAUCAGGAGGAACACCGGUGGCGAAGGCGGAUCUCUGGGCCUGUCCUGACGCUGAGGCGCGAAAGCUAGGGGGAGCGAACAGGA